rnacentral:lncRNA from 1 species
GAUCGUUGUGACUAGAGCUAGAUGGAUGGAUACAAGAACAUAUGGGACUUUACCAGGUUUGGGCCACUAGAUUGGUGUAAUACCCUAUAUCCUGUGCUCGGGGUUUGUAUUCUCAGCAUACAAUGUAUCGAAUAUGGCUUAGGUUUUUAAGGGGAUCCCUGCCGACCUUAUAUUAUACGGGGGCAGAGUUACAGAUCCGAUUCGAUCUAAUCCUAGUCGGUUAUAAGGAAAUUUACUGCCUCUUCUGUACAAUUUAUCUCUUUAUGUAUUUGAAUAACUCUAUCUCUAACUAUAUUUCUUCAUACCGAUCCUUUAUCUUGAUCCACAUGCUUG